GAUAUAACAGAGUGGCGACACUCCCAUAGACCUCCAUAGGAAACAAUGGCGGACGUUUUUUCAGGCUACUUCCGCGUUAUGGAGAGCUCAACAGUUCUUAACAGUGACAUUCGCGGAGUUUGCCUCAUUCACUUCCAUUGGUGUCUGCCUAACUUUGUCAGCGAUGCUGAAAGUGAUGUGACAAGACAUUGUCUUCAAUUAAGUGGUCCUUGACCAAGGAUGCAGAGGACAAGACGGGUGUGUAGUAUUGACUGAAAUUAUCAGAGAAGGUCAUUUUUUAUGGUUUAGGUCCAAACGAAGGGACCCUUCCAACCUCAGCAUCUCCAACACCUCCUGUCACACCUCCAGCCAAAUGUGAUGCAUCUUCCUCAGUUAACCUUCUUGUACUGUAGGUGUGCAUGUCCAGCAUCCUUUGCACAUUAAUGUCUUUAGUUGUACACACGGUACGGUUGUUCAGAUUUGGGAAUCUGAAAUGUUUUUCAGAAUGUCUUUGAAAAUAUAAAUGGGUGUUAACCCUCCUUUUUAUAUUGCAGUCUCACCAUAUCUCCCUUAAGCCUUUUCUGUGUGUAUUCCUGUUCUUGAUGUUGUUAAAACAUAGCCUACUUGUUCCACACAUUGAAAAUGUAAUAAACAAAUGUAUUGAAAACUCAAAAUGUAUCAGUCAUCCUUUUUAUGCUGUUCUAAGUGCUUUCUUGAAACAGAUGAUUGCGUAUUGAGUUACAAUGUUAUCGAAACAGUGGGUGUCCUGAACGAACUGUUGAACAAACUUAACUUUAACAUACACACUUUUAACAUUUUGGCUGUUAUUUAUCGUUCUUUGUUAAUGUAUUUUCAUAUGUUUAUGGCUUAAUCUGAAAAUAUUACUAAGGCUGUGUGGUGGCCAUAUUUAGGCUAUUCCUUAAAAUAAACAAAUUAACUGAUUGACUGCAUUGAUCUAACUUUUAACGUAUAACCUGUUACUGGUUGCCAUAUAUUAUAGAUGUUCAUGGCUUACUCCUAAAAUUGUGAAGGCUGUGGGUGUGUAGGCCUAUAUAGUUAGG